rnacentral:siRNA from 1 species
GAAGGCUGCUGGUGCAUUGGUCA